GUGCUAUUACCGCUGCAAGGUUUGGUUUUUCAGAUAGACUUUUUAAACGUCAUUGACGUUGGAAGUCGGACACUUCAAAGGAUGGCUAUGUGAAAGACAAUUUAUCAGAACGUAGGAUUGUUUCUCAGAAUUUGGGAAAUGAAUAUCUUUUUUGUUUUAUUUACAUUUGGACUAUAUAAUUUUGCAUACAUAGUACUAAAUAGCUUCCCG
rnacentral:lncRNA from 1 species